rnacentral:rRNA from 1 species
UUUUAGUUGUAAAUUUAAUAUAUGAUUUACCAGAGUACUACGAACACAAAGUUUAAAACUCAAAGGGCUUGGCGGUGUUUUAGACCGCUCAGGGGAACCUGUCUCGUAAUCGAUGAUCCACGCUAGACCUGACCUUUUUUUGCAUUCAGCCUGUAUACCGUCGUCGUCAGGUAACUUCUAAAAAACUAAAAGUUAGCGAAACAAUUUUUAAAUUAUAAUGUCAGAUCAGGGUGCAGCCUAUAAAAAGGGGAGGAUGGGUUACAAUUAUAAAUCUUAACUACGGAAGACUGCUUGAAUUAGCAGAUUUGAAGGAGGACUUGAAAGUAAUUUUUAAUACAUAAAUUAUAUGAAUUAGGCUCUGAAAUGUG